UGAAAAAAUAAGCCCAGAAACUAGAGAACUAAUCAACGCGAAGUAAAAUGAGAGGAAGCGAAAAUACUGAAAAAAGUGCGUUAAGAGACACCAACAAGAAAGUGUCAAAGGAAAUCAGAAAAGAUCUAAGGAAGUAUAAAACUCAAAGCAUCCAGAAAACCAUAGAAGAAAAUAAAAGUUUGAAAGUUUUACGAAGGAAAUUGACCAACGGAAAAUGCGAAAUACAUAAAUUAAAAAAUAAAAACAGCGAAAUAACAUCAAACAGAGAAGAUUUACUAAAUAUCGUAGAAGAAUUUUAUUUGGAACUAUAUAGGAGCCAAAGGCUGAAUCAAAAUAAUCUGAGGGAAGCGGUUUCAAAGAAAAUAAUAAACCAAGGCUCCGAAAUACUACCAGAGAUAACCACUAGCGAAAUCCAUCAAGCACUGAGAAAAAUGAAAAAUGGAAAAGCACCAGGUGAAGAUGGAGUCGUAAUAGAGGCCAUUAAAAACGGAGGCCACAUUCUUAUAGGUAAAAUAAAAAAUCUCUUCAACUUAUGCCUUCAUCAAAAGUCGAUACCUGAAAAAUGGAAAAACGCAGUAACAAUACUUUUGCAUAAGAAGGGAGAUAAGACAGACUUAGAACAUUAUAGACCCAUUAGCCUGCUAAACCACUUAUACAAACUCUUUACAAAAGUAGUGACAUCAAGAGUAGAAAAGAAGCUAGAUUUUUACCAGCCAAAAGAACAAGCUGGAUUUCGAUCAAACUUUGGGACAAACGACCAUCUGCAGGCAGUCAAGUUACUAAUUGAGAAGUCAAUAGAAUAUAAUAAACCCCUUGUCCUAGCAUUCGUGGAUUUUCAUAAAGCCUUUGACACGAUAGAGCUGGAUAGCAUUUUAGAAGCUCUAAAUGAAUGCCGCAUUGACUACCGUUACAGUACACUCAUCUAUAAUAUUUAUAAAGAGGCAACAAUGAGUGUUAAGUUACAUGAUAAAACCAAACAAAUAAGCAUAGAACGCGGCGUAAGACAAGGCGACACACUCUCGCCAAAACCAUUCAUAACUGUUCUGGAAUAUGCCUUUAAGAUGCUCAACUGGGACAAUAAAGGGAUCAAAAUAGAUGGAGAAAAGUUAAAUCAUCUUCGUUUUGCAGAUGACAUAGUCCUUAUAACUGAUGACCUAGGAGAAGUAAAGAAAAUGCUAAAUGAGUUAGACGCUAUCUGCUGGAAAAUAGGCCUGAAAAUGAACUUUUCUAAAACUAAAUUUAUGACUAAUCUGAUUCCUAGCGGGCAGCUGAUUAUACGCGAACAAGAAGUAGAACUAGUGGAAAAGUACAUUUACUUGGGUCAUGAAAUUAGAAUUGGCAGAGAUAACCAAACAUGCGAAAUAAAAAAAAGAUUAACUCUUGCUUGGGCAGCCUACGGAGCUCUGAGAGACAUAUUUAGGAGCAGUAUACCGAUCGGUUUAAAAAGACAAGUGUUUGACCAAUGUGUGCUACCGGUAAUGACAUAUGGAGCAGAGACACUGACUCUAACCAAGGCAACAGCGUCGAAAAUGCGGGUUGCUCAAAGGCGCAUGGAAAGAUCCAUGCUGGGCGUAACUCUACGGGAUAAAAUAAGAAAUGAAGAUCUCAGACAAACAACCGGUAUCGCAGAUGUUGUAGAACGUAUCACCAGGCUCAAAUGGAACUGGGCAGGACACGUCGCCAGGCUGAAAGAUUCAAGAUGGGCACGAAAGCUGAUGGAGUGGAGACCAAGAGAAGAUAAACGAAGUAGAGGAAGGCCGCCUACACGUUGGGCAGAUGAUAUCAGGCGGAUUAGUAAAAACUGGCAAAAAUCAGCACAAAACCGUGAAGUGUGGAAACAAUUGAGGGAGACCUAUGUCCAGCAGUGGACGUGAAUUGGUUGGAUGAUGAUGAUGAUGAUUUGUUUCGGCUCUUAAACCAAGUAUAUAUAACUGUAAAGAUCUCCUAUUUGUUCUAAUUUUUUCCUGGUGUAUUAUUUUGAGGUCUGCAAAGAGCCACUAGUCACUGAGGGCCUAAUCUGAAGAAUUCGAAGAGUACAGGAACAAUUCGAAACAUACAAUUCAUAAAUUUUUGACAUUAUUUGUAUCGAAUUGUGACACAUGGCAUCGUGUUAGGAAGGAACAAAAAUCAUGGUCAGAGCUAAACGCGCUGCUUAUAGGAAAGACAUAUUACAUCCCAAAAUGGACGAAAGUCACUACAUCUUGAGACCAGACACAAUUCCACCCGCCAGGCAAAUGUUUUAUCAG